rnacentral:lncRNA from 1 species
AAAUACAGACAAAGUGCAUUUAAAGACCUUCCAUCAACGCUGUUUUGGAACGAUGUUUUGUUAAAAGAAUAUCGAUGUUCUCAGGACUGGCGAAUACUACUGAUUUGGAGUGUUGAAAAACAUCUGUGAGACUCCAUUGGUCUGGACUUGUUUUGAGAAUUCCAUAUAUCGGACUUACUAAUUAAUACGGUAUCUUUUGAGAUGGACUCUUACCUACUGUACUCAUUCUACUUUAAUGGCAGAAGAUCACAGUGCAGAAUAAAAGCAAAAGAAUUUUGGUUCAAAGUUGCCAACGAGGAUGUUUUUACUGAAAAUUGUUCAGAACAAUCUAUUGUAUUAACCGAAAAACAUGGAGGAUCCUGAGACUUGAUCAACCUGAUAUCGACAAACAGUCACCUUAUGAAAAGACUGCUGAAAAAAACCGCAUUUUCAAGUCUAAACCUGAGUCAGAGCCUAAGUGAGACUCAAGACAUGCAGACUUAAGUAGACCCAUGGAAGCAAUAUUCAUUUGGCAAUUCGCUCUUUAUUUAAAAUUUAUAUUGUUUAUAUUGAAUAUAUUCGUGGACCACUUGACAGAAUAAUGUUGUAGGCGCAUAUUACGACUAUAUUUUUAUAGUCAUGAUAUGCUAUAGUCAUCAUGACCAUAUGGCAUAAUUAGAAAUCUACAUUGGCUACCUCUCCAACAGCGUACGGUAUCAGACUUAAAGAUUUUUAUCAUUUUGUUUUAAGGUUCUUCAAUUGCAAUGAAAUGUAUGUCUACUUAAUGCACCCAUCGAUUGAACAAGCUUAGGCCACCUUCCAUUAUAUGAAUAAACUACGGAAUAAAAACACAUCACUGCGAGCGGUCUUUAUAGAAAAUAUAAAAUAGCUAAAUAACUUUGCGGCGUUUUAACAGCAGCAAAUACAAACAAUAACAGCUUCCUUCCAUUGAUGCUACGACAAAGUGCAGUAAUACUUACACAGAAAUUAAGUUUAAAAUUAAUCUUUUAACAGCUUUAUAUAUCGUGCAACUAAUUAAGAAAAUGUGUAAUAAGCAGCUGACCAAAUCGUAAACCUCUUUUUAUAGUGACACCUAAACUGGCCAAGUGCAGUAGGUCUAGUAUUGUUAUCUCUAUAUUUUCUUAUAGGCCUACAUACAUUUUUAUGUAUUUUUCUCAGGUUGUAAUGGGACUAAAUGCCCAAAUGACGUGUGCAUAAGUAACACAAGAAUUUGUAACGGGAUUAACAAUUGUGGUGACUGGUCAGAUGAAUUAGGUUGCUACAAUUCAUCUGUUACUGUAUGUGGAAUGCAACAACUCAAGUAAGCAGUUUUCGAAUUGUUGGUGUUGAAGACUCACAUCCGGGAGAUUGGCCCUGGGUGCUUUUGUAUGGGAGCUAUGAUAGGCUUUUCUUUAGCUGUGGUGCUUCUUUAAUCAGCGAACGAUGGGCCAUAACUGCUGCUCACUGCGUUGAUGAGUUUAAUACUAUUACGGCAGGAAUAACAACUUCAGGCGAUAAUUCUGUGUUUCGUGAAAGUGUCCUUAUUGCCGACACUAUCAUCCAUCCAGAAUAUGAUGCCGUUAGUAAUGAUAAUGUUAUGCAUUACUUAGACUUGAUUCACCGCUACAAUUUAAUAUCUUUGUUCAACCAAUUUGCUAUGAAAGCUUGGAAUAUCGGCCAGGUACAUUGUGUUAUGCAGCAGGAUGGGGACUCCCUUUAGAAUAUGGUACCAAUCUGCAAGAUAGAAGUGUUUCUUGCUGAGUAUCGAAGAAUGUCGCAGUCUAUACCCCGAAUAUAACGUAACUGACAAUAUGAUUUGUGCUAUAUAUAUUUCUAGCUGUG